rnacentral:tRNA from 1 species
GGAGAUGUAGCUCAGUGGUAGAGCGCACGCUUAUUGCAUGUGUGAGGCCCCGGGUUACUAAUACCCCGGCAUACUCCA